CAAGACCAACCUUUUUUUCUGGUGGAAGCCCAAAUAGAUCACUUCUCUCACAGUCACACCCGCACCUUCACACACUCACACUCACACGUAGCUCUUACUUUUUUACCCCUAAAAAGAAGCUCUUAUUUUCUUUUGAAGAACCCACGUAGCUCUUACCUUAUCCCCUUUCCAUCUCCUAUCCUCUCGCUACAAAAUUGCUUCCACCUGAGCGCUGCGGAUUUAAUUCCCAACAACACCUGAAUUUCCCCUCUUGAUUCCUUGUUGUGACCUUGCUCGUCCUCACCUGCACGCAACUCUGCAGUUCAGCUGACCGACGCGGACACUGGAUGAGGCUUGUUUGGCUCCCUGUAUGCCUCCUCGAUCCCUCAGGUCGGUCAAUGACGACGGAGGGUUAGUAUGGCUCGAUGAGAAGCUGCGCGAUGCGAGCUUGUCGACCUUGACAGUGCCUUUGUUGUCGGCGAGGCGAUGUGAGCGUGGAUCUCGUCUCCCGCAGCAAGCUUGGAUCCACCUCGAUUGUGAGGAACUGAUUGUCCCCGAGCAAGGCAGCCUGGCUUGUCGUCUUCAUCCUGCCGCCUGACUUCAGUGGCUCAUUAUUCUACCUGUAGGUCCCCCCUUCUCCCUUCUCCUACGUUUCUCAUAUUUGUUUUCUUGUUUCUUAUCAUUUCUCUGCAUGUGUAUGUGCAUGUGUAGUAAGUUAGAACUUGUGAAAGAUGUAAAUUUAUUUAUGCCCCCUCCACCUUUUUUCGUAGUUGGACUGGCAUUGGCAGAGCCCCCCGCCCCCAUUCAUAUUGAACAAAUUUAAUACAGUUAGUAAUUUGUUUAUUUGUGAUUAGCUAUAAUUUUACGAUUUCCCAAAGAUAGAAUUGAUUUUAAUAAGUGAAUAUGAAAAAAGGUGCUAUUGUAAUUUACAUAUUAACUACUCCCUCCGUUCUAGAAUAAGUUUCUUGGUUUUAGUUGAACUAAAACAACAACACUUGUUUUGGAACGGAGGGUAACGAUCCGUGGAUGUUGUCACCGUUGUGUUGUACAAUAGAAUAAGCUUCAAAUAUCAGAUAAUAUAGUGUCGACAAUUGGUAUUACUGAAUUUUUUCUAUCGAAUGUUGAUGCAUGUUUCCAGUACUUCUGGGAGUAGUAGAUCAUGCCGUUCCUCCAUAUCAUGUUAUUAGCAUAGAAAAGACAGUGUUGUUCCAUCUACUUAUGGUUAUCUAAAAAUGUUGUUAGCAUUUGUAAAUGUGUUUUUAGUUCCUACCUUUAGAAUAUUCUUGUGUAUACUAUGUUCUUGACCGCAUCAUCCUCGUUGUUAGUUCAUUUGCUAUAGAAAAGAAAACAAUAAUAGGUUUGAUCAAGUCUGUAGGUUAUUACUUGGGAGUGUUUUUCCAAAGUAUUCCCUUUCUCUUGCGUUUCUCAUGAACUCCUUGAGCUUUAUGUGGAACACUAUCAGGUGUUUCUGAUGCUGUUUGGCCUACUUCCUGUAGCAUAGAUCAAACCUCCAGCGAAGCUAUGUUGCUUGUGAAUGUCAGAAAUUGGUUUGUGUAUCCAGCCCACUAACAUAUUGCCAUAGCAUCUUGGUAGUUUGUGCUUUGUAUCUUGGGCUAUCCGUGAAGUUGGAUGGCACACGGCAGUAGUACUCUCUAGCAUACCUGGUCAGCCGUUGUAUUUCUAUUGCAUCUUGCAAGGCAACAUAUAAUUCGGUUCUUAGAUUUCCUUGAUGUCAUUCGAUCCAGUCUAUUUGUACUGCAAAAUGUAUGAAAGGGCAUCCACAUUGAAUUUCAAUUUAAGCUUUUCACACACCAUCAAGUGUUUCGACUGGUUGGUACAUUGUUUUAUAUGAUUUUCAUAGUAUUCCAACAUAGUUACAUUCUUUCUCUUGCAUUUUACACCUUCUUUUAGUGUGUAAUGUAUAUUUCCUCUGUACCCGUCUUCUCCGUAGGGGAAUGAUAAUGGAUACUGCAUAGCCAUGAAUUUUGAAUGGUUCUCUCAUAUUCUUUUCGGUCUCAAGUCUUUGUACUGAACAAUGAUAUCCCGGCCUUUUCUAUUCUGUUGUAUCAUUUAUAAUCAAGGCUGCAUCUUUAGUUGCAGAUGGCAUGUGAUGUCAUCUUAAUCUCAUGUUGUGAUAGUCACCUUCUUCAAAUUUAUCCCUUGCCAUUCUGAGUGUUUUUGCUAGUCUAUUAUCUCUAUCCAGCAUAUUUUUAAGGCCUUCACAAUGUGAGGAUCGGUUGACUCCCUUUUAUCUUAUUUCUUUGUACCAGAAAAUUGCACCACAUCACUUACACUUGCAGCUUGGUUUUACGCCUUUCCGAAUUUCCAUAUUGGUCCUCUCUGAUGUCCUCUUCAAGAUUCUGAAUUUAGCAUCCAUUUAUAUAUUCAUAAUGUUUGGUUGUUCUUGUUCGUACUAAAAAACAAACUUAAUAGAACUUACAUAUCUUUAGUUUUUUUCCUCUAUCCUCGAUUUUCAUGUUGUACAGUUUGUGUUACUUUUAGUCCUGUACACAUGCAUAAAGAAAUACCAGGUUCAUGAAUGUACAAACUGUAGAUCUUGAUUGAACUUUCUUGUUGCUCACCUCUUAGUCUUACCAACCUGACUGAUUAUUGAAUUCUUUUGUGUCGCUGGUUCUGCAUUGCUCUUUCUUUGUGUUUUUCUUUUCCUAUAUUGUCUUACAUCUCUAGCUAUCUCUGUUUAAUUACGUGCCCUGCAUAAACAUAAAUUCCAUUUAGUAGAAAUAAGAGAUUUGUUUUGCAACACGUGCAAUUUAUGACUGUAGUGGUUAAAGUAUAUGAUUAAUGUAUGUACAUGAUAUGGUUCCCUGUCGUAAUCCAACAAUGCUGAUUUUGCCUGUCUUGGUUAAGCCAUAGUGCAUGGGAAUUUGUUAUCAUGUUUUUGUUAAAGAAAUAAUUGAUAGGCACAGUCAGAACCCAAUGUAACCCUUUUUAUAUUUGAUACAAUAUUUAAAUUAGCCGCAGAUCAUAUGGAAAUGCAUAGGUGGAUGGGCAUGAUAAACAUUUGUGAAUGGUAAACUGUGUAAGAUCAGAUAUUCAAAUCCACUGGGUUAAUGAAGAAACUUGUGUAAGCUUGGAAAGAAUGGAACACAUGGGUAGCACAAUUGAAUUGCAAAGCAGAAGCAAAGGUAUAAUGCUGCUUCCAGUACACCUUACUACGUCUGUGCAUGAUAUAAGGGAAGUUUAACAAUUGAAUUCGGAAUAGUAAGUAAAGAUAGUGGAUGAUAAUACACAUAAGGAAAUAAGUUUGUAAAGAUUUUCUUACUGCACGUGGUUCAGAGGUUGUUCUUUCGGCUUAGUUAUGCAGUCUGGCACAUCUCAAUGUAUGAUAGAAGGUUGUCUCUUUUUCUUGCAUUGAAGUUUCUUUCUCCUCUCGUAUCUUGUAAGUGUUUAUUGACUGGAUUCACAUCAAUAAGAUAGUAAUUUAAAAUAUUUUUUCCCGUCCAAGCUUAAAUCACAAACCCACGUGUGCCUAACUUGAAUCACAAAUCCAAGCUUAAAUAUUUUUCUUGUGAUACCAUCUAGUAAAGAUUCAUGGUUAGUAAUGGCUCAGCUUAUUGUAUUGCAUAUUUGGUGCUUUUAACCACCUUGGCAGAUUUCUCACAUUUUUGCUAUAUGUGGUUCCCUUUUAUUUUCCUUGAUUCUUCCUGUACAAUAGAGUGCACAUAUUAUUGAAUACAAGAUGAGAUAUUGUAACAUUGUUAUGGAGUACUGCUCAAGGUUAUGAAGAUUUAUGGUUUUGAUUGUUUUUUCAGCUUACAAAUUUUUGUUUUUGUUGUAGAAUUAAAGAAGAUCAACUUCUAAGACCAGCAGAUGUUAAGUUCCAAUCUUCAUGUGAAAACACAUAUUGUGAGUAUCUUUUGACCUAGUGGUGUAGUUACAUGCAAGUCCAUAAAAGCAUAUGUUUAGUGAAGAAUAAGAUUGCAAUUCAGGCUGGCAAGUUCAUGUACAAUCACGACUGAAAAAUCUCAAGGGGAUCUUACGACCUUAUCUGAACUUAAAAAAAGCUAUUUGAUUGUGUUGUUACACCUUGAAUUAAAGUCAUGGGUUGUACUACUGAUUAUGUUGUUGCUAUUGAGAAAAUUGAACUCUAAGAAUAUGUUAAGAUUGCAAUCGAGGAUGCGAAGUUGAUGUACAAUAAUGACUAUAAAUUACAAGGGGAACCUAGGACAUGAUUAAAAGCUACUACCUCCGUAACUAAAACGUCUUAUAUGUGAACUGCAAAAACUUCUUAUGUCAAACAUCUUAUAUUUAGUUACAGAGGUAGUAUUUGAUUGUGUGUUCAUACCUUGAAUUGAAGACGUAAGUUGUACUUGUUAAGGAGUAUUAGUAUUGGUCUAGGAGUCCUUAUUAGUCUAUGUUUAGUUUUCUUACACCUCAAGUCAUGUGUAAUAUAUAUAUGCCCCUUGGGCCUUCAAUAAAGAUAAGUUGCUUUCCUAACAUGGUAUCAGAGCCUUAUCUUUUUAGCACGCGCAACUCGUGCAGAUCCAAUUUUGCGCCGCUGAAGAUCGCCACCGCCUCGGUCAAUGGCGCCCCCGUGCAGGUCUCCCACGCCCGCUGCGCUCCCCAUCGGCUGCUCUCCAAGUCUACCGCUAGGACGAUUGGCCCUUCCGCAAAGACCGUCGCCGCCGCGUGACGACCACCGUCCCGAUUCAUCAGUCGCUGCUUUCUGCACUCGUGUUCCCGUGUGCAACCGCUUCUCACUCGCGUGCGUCCGCUCAUGCAGCCAUGCAGGCGUGUUCCUCUCCUGCUUUUGCUUCCGUGUGCGUGGCUGCUGCUAUCUCUACACUGGCUGUUGCAUGCUUGCCUGCGUUGACGCUGUUCUCUCAUUGCUGAUGCUAGGUGCUACUGCUUGCUGUUACGCCCUGCGCGCAGCCUAGUUUUUGGUGUGUUUUGGUGAUGCAUGAUAUGUCAUUGCAAGUUUGUUCCUUCUAAAAAGAAGUCCAAUGUCUCUUACAUCACAUCUAGUCCAGUGUGCUUUUUAGCUUCCUAGUUUCUAGUAUAAUUUCCGCUGCGUCCAUCAAAUCCGUUGAUAUUUUGUGUUUUCUCAUGUCAUGUGAGUCCAUACCUCUGUCCGUCAGCCUUUUUCUGGUCAUUGUCCUUUGUAUAGGAUUUCUGUGGCCUCUCUUUGCAUUGUUGAUCUAAGCCCAUUCUCUUGCCGCCGAGCUUCUUUCGCCGUCGGUUUUCAUGGGCCAUGAGUCUUUAAGCAAUGCUUCUUCUUCUCUUGAUGUGCCAUCUUCUUUCGACAACCCAUCUUCUCUUGAUACUUCUAUUGUAUCUUCUAUCGAUGUGGUGUCUUCCUCUGAUGUGCCAUCUCUUUGUUAUCUCCCUUGGAGACUCGACAGGUUUUGAAGACUCUUCAUGCUACGACGACACUCUCAAGACGCGGAUUUGGAUUAUCAUUUUUUUUAGUAUUACACUUCUUCAAAUGCAAUGCUAUUGCAUACGCUUUGCAUUUGAGGGGGGGUGUUAAGGAGUAUCAGUAUUGGUUUAGGAGUCCUUAUUAGUCUAUGUUUAGUUUUCUUACACCUCAAGUCAUGUGUAAUAUAUAUAUGCCCCUUGGGCCUCAAUAAAGAUAAGUUGCUUUCCUAACAGUACUAUCGUUUCUACUCUUGCUUUUGACAAAAGAUUAAGCUUUAUUUUAGUUCUAUAUGAUAUCUUGCUGGAGGUGGUCUGCUCGCUCGAUGGAGCCGAUGACGCAAUCGAGGAAAUUGGGGUACUCACUCGUGGGAGUUCCUUUUUCUUAGGGAAAGCCAUCAUGGCGGUAUAUAUUGAUCUGUAAUAAACAUAGCACGAAUAAAAUUGUUUCAUGUAAACUUUGUCAUUGGAAGCUUGUAUAUAUUUCAGGCUAUCCUUUAUAGAUAUAAAAAACUAUCAUAGUGUUAUAUGGGAGGUGGCAGUUAGUAGCCUAAAAUGACAACAACCAAUUCAUAACCUAUGUGUUUACUGUAUCUUUAGAUUAAAUAUUGAUCCAAUUUCUCUUUUUUUAGGGAAAGCCAUCAUGGUGGUGUAUAUUGAUCUGGAAUAAUAGCUGCACCACUGCAAGAACAGCAACUAAAAAUCCUGUAAGGUUGCAUGUGAUGGAUAUGAGUCCAACCUAUCUUGAGUUUUGUUUUUGGGGUCGUGAGAUUGGUGUAAAGAAUAUGUAAGAUUAUUGUGAGAUUGGUGUAAAGGACAUGCAUGCAGAUGAUUGAUGUAGGGCUGGAUAGUUUGGGAGAAGCGAUCAGCGUACCAACCUUGGUCUUGGCCGCUGCUCAUGCUGCAUAUUGUUCUGCGAGCCACCAUGUAGGAGGCGACAUGUGCCUGCCAGCCCUCUCUAUUUGGGUCUUGCUUUUGUUUGUAUCCGUAAAAAAAGACCUGAGGAGGAAGGACGUAGCCUGAAUUCCUGAAAGCCUGGAUCGUUGCGUGGUAGUGCCCUAAGCCAAUGGCGAUGAAGAUGGCGUGGCUUGGCGAUGAAGAUGGUGUCGCCAAGCUAGGGUUUCUUGUGAUUUUUUAGCUUGUUUCUUGCUGUCUGGUCGUUCACCUUGAUAGCAUAUAAUUUUUUUAGAGGAAAAGGUAAGAGGUGAGGAAAGGACGGUCUGGCAAUGGUGGGUAAUUUUCAAAUUAAAUCUGAUCUAGUGGUUAUAGAUUUUUUUAGUCUAUUAAAUUAACGGUUAGAUGUGUCUAAUUGUUAUGAUAAUUUCUAGCUUAUUUUAUUUUUUCUGGUUAACCGUCAAGUACUUUUUAUAUAUAAAUAGAUGUGGCAAUUGCUAACAUGAUUCGGACAGACUUUAAGCAUUGAUACGAGUAAGAAAAUCUCAUCAUAGUCAACAUCUUGAACUUGUCAAAAACCCUUUUCGACAAGUCGAACUUUGUAGAUAGUAACACUACUAUCAGCGUCCGUCUUCCUCUUGAAGAUCUAUUUUAUUCUCUAUGACUUGCUGAUUAUCGGGCAAGUCAACCAAAGUCCA
rnacentral:lncRNA from 1 species